rnacentral:rRNA from 1 species
AUUGAACGCUGGCGGAAUGCUUUACACAUGCAAGUCGAACGGUAGAGGGGGCAACCCCUCGAGAGUGGCGAACGGGUGAGUAAUAUAUCGGAACGUGCCCAGUCGUGGAGGAUAACGUAGCGAAAGUUACGCUAAUACAGCAUACGAUCUAAGGAUGAAAGCGGGGGGUCGCAAGACCUCGCGCGAUUGGAGCGGCCGAUAUCAGAUUAGGUAGUUGGUGGGGUAAAGGCUCACCAAGCCAACGAUCUGUAGCUGGUCUGAGAGGACGACCAGCCACACUGGAACUGAGACACGGUCCAGACUACUACGGGAGGCAGCAGUGGGGAAUUUUGGACAAUGGACGCAAGUCUGAUCCAGCCAUUCCGCGUGCAGGAUGAAGGCCCUCGGGUUGUAAACUGCUUUUGUACGGAACGAAAAGGUCUCUCUUAAUACGGGGGGCUCAUGACGGUACCGUAAGAAUAAGCACCGGCUAACUACGUGCCAGCAGCCGCAGUAA